rnacentral:rRNA from 1 species
GUGGGGAAUAUUGGGCAAUGGGCGCAAGCCUGACCCAGCAACGCCGCGUGAAGGAAGAAGGCUUUCGGGUUGUAAACUUCUUUUACCAGGGACGAAACAAAUGACGGUACCUGGUGAAUAAGCCACGGCUAACUACGUGCCAGCAGCCGCGGUAAUACGUAGGUGGCGAGCGUUAUCCGGAUUUAUUGGGUGUAAAGGGCGUGUAGGCGGGACAGCAAGUCAGAUGUGAAAACCAGAGGCUCAACCUCUGGCCUGCAUUUGAAACUGUGGUUCUGGAGUGUCGGAGAGGUAAUCGGAAUUCCGUGUGUGGCGGUGAAAUGCGUAGAUAUACGGAGGAACACCAGUGGCGAAGGCGGAUUACUGGACGAUAACUGACGCUGAGGCGCGAAAGCGUGGGGAGCAAACAGGAUUAGAUACCCUGGUAGUCC